UACGUAGGGUGCAAGCGUUGUCCGGAAUUACUGGGCGUAAAGAGCUCGUAGGUGGUUUGUCGCGUUGUUCGUGAAAACUCACAGCUCAACUGUGGGCGUGCGGGCGAUACGGGCAGACUGGAGUACUGCAGGGAGACUGGAAUUCCUGGUGUAGCGGUGGAAUGCGCAGAUAUCAGGAGGAACACCGGUGGCGAAGGCGGGUCUCUGGGCAACUACUGACGCUGGAGGAAGCGAAAGCGUGGGGAGCGAACAGG
rnacentral:rRNA from 1 species